AGUUUUUCGGAACUUAGUGGCGGACGGGUGAGUAACGCGUGAGAAUCUGCCUUAAGGAUUGGGACAACAGUGGGAAACCGCUGCUAAUACCAAAUAUGCCUUUUAGUGAAACGGGUAAAACCGCCUUAAGAUGAGCUCGCGUCUGGUUAGCUAGUUGGUGUGGUAAGAGCGCACCAAGGCAACGAUCAGUAGCUGGUCUGAGAGGACGACCAGCCACACUGGGACUGAGACACGGCCCAGACUCCUACGGGAGGCAGCAGUGAGGAAUUUUCCGCAAUGGGCGAAAGCCUGACGGAGCAAUACCGCGUGAGGGAGGAAGGUUCUUGGAUUGUAAACCUCUUUUCUCAGAGAAGAAUAAUGACGGUAUCUGAGGAAUAAGCAUCGGCUAACUCCGUGCCAGCAGCCGCGGUAAUACGGAGGAUGCAAGCGUUAUCCGGAAUGAUUGGGCGUAAAGGGUCUGUAGGUGGUUGUUCAAGUCUGCUGUUAAAGCGUCUGGCUUAACCAGAUAAAGGCGGUGGAAACUGAACGACUAGAGUGCGGUAGGGGUAGAGGGAAUUCCCAGUGUAGCGGUGAAAUGCGUAGAUCUUGGGAAGAACACCUGUGGCGAAAGCGCUCUACUGGACCGCGACUGACACUCAUGGACGAAAGCUAGGGGAGCGAAUGGGAUUAGAUAC
rnacentral:rRNA from 1 species